rnacentral:lncRNA from 1 species
AGCUGUGACAGGUUGGUGGCGGUGUAUUUUUCACUUCAGAAGCUAAGAACUUUUGCUAGAAUAUGGAGGCCAGAGUAACUGGGCUUUAAUGCUAGAUUCUGCACAGAGAAGACAAAGGAAAAAACAAGAUGAAAUAUUUGGCAGAAUGCUGAAGAUGUGUUCCCAUGAGUUCCUGCCUCCUUGUACCCCACUGAGUGGAAUGUUAAAAAUACGGAGAAAGAAUUUAAGACCUGCCAGAUUGGAUCAUGCCAGUGUUUCCUAUAGCCUAAGAUUCUACCUUCAACUGUGGCAGUAAGAUAAAUUUUGUGCAAUUUCUACAGAUGCAGUCCCACCUCUGGCCAUGGCCAAAAUUAGCUGGAUAAUUCUUUGAAUCUGGCUAAUGUGGAAUCUUGCAAGGACAAAGAGGAUUUGCUCACGAACUGGGAAGAAUUAUCAUACCAAAUCAAUGAGGAUAUUUGCUGCCAAAGGCUUAGGCAUGGAGGCCAACUGGAUUCUCAUCCAUGACCCUGAUAGGACAUCCUGAACCCCAUUUAUGUUGUUUUAAGAGUGAUUCCAUAACCUCAAGAGCUACCCUAUAGUUGGCUGCCUGGCUUCAGAGCUUUUUUUGAACUUGGAAGACUUCAAGCCCCAACUGAGGAAUCCUUGAUGCUCUGUUGUUUUGUCUUGCUAAAAUGUACAAGAAACUUGCACAGCUCUGUCCUUCAGGCUUAAAAUCAUCCCAGGGAGGUCACUCUAAUUCCUUUUAAUGUGUGCUGAAGAAAGGGCAGCACAGCUGAAGCCUGAUUUAAAAUCUGAUCUUCUCCCUAAUGUCACAAGGACAUCCUGAGACAAUGGCUGAGGAGCUAUGCACCAGUACCCAGCUGGAUCCCUGAUACUUACAUUGGCAGAUGCAUUAUCAACAGAGACAUCGAUUUAGAGUGAAUUAAAGGAAUUACAAAGAUCAAGAUGAAUUCAGUGAAGCUUCCCAUAGGACUGUUCAAAGAUCUCCAGGCCUGCCAUUCAUGCAUUCAUGUGAGAGAGACACUUUGGGCCUAAGAAAUGAAGGCCAAUUCAUGUGGAGUCAGUCCUCUUAUAACCACAGUAGGAUAGAACUUGUUUCUGAGACCUUCAGAAGGACUAAGCCCUAGGCAAACAGCCCCAGUGAAGUCAGCUCUAAGGACAUAUUGAGGGAACAAUCGGAGAAACUGGUUGUUUUACGGAGGCUUUGACUGGAAUGGUGUCCUUUCCUUUAAGGAAUCAAACUUAACUUACGGAUCCAACAAAAGCCCCUUGAGAAAACUGGACUCAUACUUGUCUACGCAGUCUCUGAACAGAGUUCCUGACCUGUGAGAUCUGGAACAAAAUCUACAAUAUCUCCAAG